AGAUUGAUCCUGGCUAGGGACGAACGCUGGCGGCGUGCCUAACACAUGCAAGUCGAACGGGGAUCUUGUUUCGGCAGGAUCCUAGUGGCGAACGGGUGAGUAACGCGUAGGCAACCUGCCCCCCGGCCGGGGACAACACGCCGAAAGGUGUGCUAAUACCGGAUACGAAGUGAGUACCGCAUGGUGCUCAUUUGAAAGAUGGCCUCUGUUUACAAGCUAUCGCCGGGGGAUGGGCCUGCGUCCGAUUAGCUGGUUGGCGGGGUAAGGGCCCACCAAGGCAUCGAUCGGUAGCCGGUCUGAGAGGAUGAACGGCCACAUUGGGACUGAGACACGGCCCAGACUCCUACGGGAGGCAGCAGUGGGGAAUCUUCCGCAAUGGGCGCAAGCCUGACGGAGCAACGCCGCGUGGGUGAGGAAGUUUUUCGGAACGUAAAGCCCUGUUGUUUGCGACGAACGGGCUUUCUGUGAAUAAUGGGAAGUAGUGACGGUAGCAGACGAGGAAGCCACGGCUAACUACGUGCCAGCAGCCGCGGUAAUACGUAGGUGGCAAGCGUUGUCCGGAAUUAUUGGGCGUAAAGCGCAUGUAGGCGGUGAUGUAAGUCUGUCGUGAAACUGCGGGGGCUCAGCCCCGUAUGGCGAUGGAAACUGUGUUACUUGAGUGCAGGAGAGGGAAGGGGAACUCCCAGUGUAGCGGUGAAAUGCGUAGAUAUUGGGAAGAACACCGGUGGCGAAAGGCGCCCUUUUUCUUGGGACUGGUUGUUCU
rnacentral:rRNA from 1 species